CCUACGGGUGGCAGCAGUGAGGAAUAUUGGUCAAUGGACGAGAGUCUGAACCAGCCAAGCCGCGUGAAGGAUGAAUGUCCUCUGGGUUGUAAACUUCUUUUAUAAGGGAAUAAAGCGAGGCACGUGUGCCCUUUUGCAUGUACUUUAUGAAUAAGGAUCGGCUAACUCCGUGCCAGCAGCCGCGGUAAUACGGAGGAUCCGAGCGUUAUCCGGAUUUGUUGGGUUUAAAGGGAGCGUAGAUGGGUUGUUAAGUCAGUUGUGAAAGUUUGGGGGUCAACCGUAAAAAUGCAAUUGAUACUGGCAGGCUUGAGUACAGGAGAGGUAGGCGGAAUUCGUGGUGUAGCGGUGAAAUGCGUAGAUAUCACGAAGAACCCCGAUUGCGAAGGCAGCUUACUGGCCUGUGACUGACGCUGAGGCUCGAAAGCGUGGGUAUCAAACAGGAUUAGAUACCCGAGUAGUC
rnacentral:rRNA from 1 species